GCCUUCGUGGUGUAGUGGUCAGCACAUUCGUCGCGUAUUCGAGAGGUCCGUGGUUCGAGUCCCCGUAAAAGCA
rfam:Stegodyphus mimosarum contig106040, whole genome shotgun sequence.